GUACGUGCUCACCACUUUCCUCCACUCACUUUCCACUCCUCUAGGACUACAAAUGAAAAAAGUGGAGUGCUGUGCAUCUGCCCUGAUUUAAACAUCUUCGGACAUAUCAUCCUUUCCGUUAGCAGUAUGGAAGGGUUAUAUUGUAUUUACUCCUGAUGCUGGGAAUUUCAGAGAUUAGAGGGUUUGCCAAAGAAGUACGGUGGGCACAAGAGAAGACUGCCUCCCAACAACCGGAGACUUAAACACAGACUAUGUAACGCUGCAGUCUUUAGACUUGAAGAUCUGGUUUGUUUGAAUCCUCAGAACUUUUAACAUGUGAAAAGGAAAGAAUA